rnacentral:rRNA from 1 species
CACGUAGGGCGCAAGCGUUGUCCGGAAUUAUUGGGCGUAAAGAGCUCGUAGGCGGUCUGUUGCGUCCGCUGUGAAAACUCGGGGCUUAACCCCGAGCCUGCAGUGGAUACGGGCAGACUAGAGGUAGGUAGGGGAGAAUGGAAUUCCCGGUGUAGCGGUGAAAUGCGCAGAUAUCGGGAGGAACACCGGUGGCGAAGGCGGUUCUCU